rnacentral:rRNA from 1 species
AAUGAACGUUGGCGGCGUGGAUUAGGCAUGCAAGUCGUGCGAGAAUCUCCCUUCGGGGAGAGGACAGCGGCGAAAGGGAGAGUAACGCGUGGUUACAUACCCUCGGGACCGGGAUAGUAGCGGGAAACUGCUAGUAAUACCGGAUAAUAUCUUUGGAUCAAAGGUGUGAUUCCGCCCGAGGAUUGGACCGCGUUCUAUUAGCUUGUUGGCGGGGUAAUGGCCCACCAAGGCGACGAUGGAUACCGGGUGUGAGAGCAUGGCCCGGCUCACUGGGACUGAGACACUGCCCAGACACCUACGGGUGGCUGCAGUCGAGAAUCUUCGGCAAUGGGGGCAACCCUGACCGAGCGACGCCGCGUGCGGGAUGAAGGCCUUCGGGUUGUAAACCGCUGUCAGUUGGGAGGAAGUGCCAGGGGGUUCUCCCCUUGGUUUGACCGAUCUUCAGAGGAAGGACGGGCUAAGUUCGUGCCAGCAGCCGCCGUAAUAC